rnacentral:rRNA from 1 species
GACGAGGGGUCCAAGCGUUGUCCGGAAUUAUUGGGCGUAAAGAGCGUGUAGGCGGCCAGAUAAGUCCGCUGUGAAAUCUCGAGGCUCAACUUCGAGCUGUCGGUGGAAACUAUCUGGCUAGAGUCCGGAAGAGGAGAAUGGAAUUCCUGGUGUAGCGGUGAAAUGCGCAGAUAUCAGGAAGAACACCCGUGGCGAAGGCGGUUCUCUGGGACGGUACUGACGCUGAGACGCGAAAGCGUGGGGAGCGAACAGG